UUAACUGGGGAAAAGGCAUCAUGAGUAAUUAUUCGGAUGAGAUUAGUGAUACUGAAAAGCUACCAGAAAAGAAACCAAAAUAACAAUAAAAUUAUGUCACAAAGAAAAGAAAAAACUUAAGAAACAGAUUGAAUAUGACAAACAAAUGGAUGUCAUCAGUCGAAAAGGAGGUCUGGGGCAUAGUGAAUUGGAAGACAACUUUUCCAUAUCUCAAGUUCAGCAAUCUGAAAAUAAGUUGGCUCAGUUGGAGAAUGCUGUUGAUAUUAAGAUUGAAAACUUAGAACUUAAAAAACGUAUCGGGAAAAGGCAAGAGUUUAUUUACAAAUGCCAGUCUUCUAUAAUCACUCAAGGCAGAAGAUAUGGACUUGUUGGGCCUAAUGGGUUAACUCUGUUACGUCAUAUUGCUUCCAUAGCUCUGAAGAUUCUUCCUUCAAUUGCUGUUUUGGUGUGUGCGCAAUAAGUAGUCACAGAUGAUACACCAGCAGUGAGCAGUCUGAAAGCUGACAACAAGAGAAUAGCAUUACUGGAAAAAGCUUACAAAGCUUGAGAAAGAGCAGCAAAAAGGAAAUCUGAAGGCCACUGAAGGAUUAAGCCAAGUUUAUGAGGAAUUGCGGGCCAUUAUUGGUGGCGAUGCAGCUGAGCCCAAAGCUUGACGAAUCUUAUCAGGUCUUGGCUCUUGGGUUCACUGCUGAGAUGCAGAACCGACCCACCAAAAAUUUUAGCGGCGGUUGGCGGAUGCGUGUCUCCUUUGGCAGAGUACUUUAUUUGGAGCCUACUCUUCUAAUGUUGGUUAAACCUACCAGUCAUUUAGAUUUGAAUGCUGUCAUUUGGUUGGACAAUUAUUUACUUGGCUGGAAGAAAACUGAUCAUUGUAUAUCUCACGACCAAUCUAUCUUAGAUACAGAUAUUAUUCACUUGGACAUGGAAAAACGUUGUUGGGUUUUCAGCACCAUACUGUUCCCAUCUGUCUGAUCCCUCUACUAUGAAAAUCAUCUCUACUAAUCAGACAUUACAAGGAGAUACCAGUAAACAUACAGACUUUUCUGUUUGUUACGCCCACUACGACCAGCAAAUUAGGUGCUUUCAGCAGUGUGAAGUGAAUUUGCUGUCACAUCAUGCUUCUUUUCCUGAUGACUUGAAAGCAACAUUGCACUAAAAAAGAAAUAUGCUGAUGGCUGCACCAAUAACUUCCACAUAUUCUUCUGUGUUCAUUGAUCAGCCUUAAUGGGAUAUGGGAGCAGGAGCACCUAUUGAAAUCCCCCUUCCACUAAGUUACCCUAGCCCUGUUAAGGAUCAAGGACUGACGCCGAUUGUAUAAUCGCCCCUUCAGGUUUGGAGUUUCGAGCUGUAGCCGUUUGUGGUUGCAUGGUGUGCUAGCGGCUUCUUUUCGUGCUGACGGGUUAUCAUGAUUUGGUAAUGCAGAGGAGACGUUGAAAAGAUGGACUCCACGUUCGGCCUAUCUUCCAUCAUCUUCCCCCUUAUUCCAAAGGUUCGGCGGUGCGCGGAUCAUCAUUUGUUGUUGGUAACAUGUUUUCGUUAGUUAACCCGUUGGCUGCCACGCCUUUGUUCUCCCCUGUGUUAGCUCCUUAGC
rnacentral:lncRNA from 1 species